rnacentral:rRNA from 1 species
CAGUAGCCGCGGUAAUACGAAGGGGGCUAGCGUUGUUCGGAAUUACUGGGCGUAAAGGGCGCGUAGGCGGCCAUUCAAGUUAGAUGUGAAAGCCCUGGGCUCAACCUAGGAAUCGCAUUUGAUACUGUUUGGCUUGAGUUCGGGAGAGGUGAGUGGAAUUCCCAGUGUAGAGGUGAAAUUCGUAGAUAUUGGGAAGAACACCAGUGGCGAAGGCGGCUCUCUGGUCUGUAACUGACGCUGAGGAGCGAAAGCGUGGGGAGCAAACAGGAUUAGAUACCCCCGUAGUCCCUGUCUCUUAUAC